GACGAACGCUGGCGGCGUGCCUAAUACAUGCAAGUCGAACGCUUCUUUCCUCCCGAGUGCUUGCACUCAAUUGGAAAGAGGAGUGGCGGACGGGUGAGUAACACGUGGGUAACCUACCCAUCAGAGGGGGAUAACACUUGGAAACAGGUGCUAAUACCGCAUAACAGUUUAUGCCGCAUGGCAUAAGAGUGAAAGGCGCUUUCGGGUGUCGUUGAUGGAUGGACCCGCGGUGCAUUAGCUAGUUGGUGAGGUAACGGCUCACCAAGGCCACGAUGCAUAGCCGACCUGCGAGGGUGAUCGGCCACACUGGGACUGAGACACGGCCCAGACUCCUACGGGAGGCAGCAGUAGGGGAUCUUCGGCAAUGGACGAAAGUCUGACCGAGCAACGCCGCGUGAGUGAAGAAGGUUUUCGGAUCGUAAAACUCUGUUGUUAGAGAAGAACAAGGACGUUAGUAACUGAACGUCCCCUGACGGUAUCUAACCAGAAAGCCACGGCUAACUACGUG
rnacentral:rRNA from 1 species